rnacentral:lncRNA from 1 species
CAGGCGUAGUGGCAUGUGUUGGAUUGCUGGUAGGGAUAUUAGUUGGGGAUAGUAUGACGGAUGUGGACUAGAGGGUAGUUACAUUUACAUGUUGUAUUGGGGCAGGCGUAGUGGCAUGUGUUGGAUUGCGGGUAGGGAUAUUAGCUGGGGAUAGUGACGGAUGUGGACUAGAGGGUAGUUACAUGUUGUAUUGGGGCAGGCGUAGUGGCAUGUGUUGGAUUGCGGGUAGGGAUAUGAGCUGGUAGGGAUAUUAGCUGGGGAUAGUGACGGAUGUGGACUAGAAGGUAGUUACAUGUUGUAUUGGGGCAGGCGUAGUGGCAUGUGUUGGAUUGCGGGUAGGGAUAUGAGCUGGUAGGGAUAUUAGCUGGGGAUAGUGACGGAUGUGGACUAGAAGGUAGUUACAUGUUGUAUUGGGGCAGGCGUAGUGGCAUGUGUUGGAUUGCUGGUAGGGAUAUUAGCUGGGGAUGGUGACGGAUGUGGACUAGAGGGUAGUUACAUGUUGUAUUGGGGCAGGCGUAGUGGCAUGUGUUGGAUUGCGGGUAGGGAUAUUAGCUGGGGAUAGUGACGGAUGUGGACUAGAGGGUAGUUACAUGUUGUAUUGGGGCAGGCGUAGCGGCAUGUGUUGGAUUGCUGGUAGGGAUAUUAGCUGGAUGCUGAAAUAGGAGAUAGUGACAAAAGCGGAAAUACGGGGUAGUGGCAGUUGCUGAAAUAGGAGGUAGUCAUAGAUGCUGAAAUAUUGGGUAGUGUCAGUUGCUGAAAUGGGGGUAGUGUCAGUUGCUGGAAUAGGAGGUAGUGGCAGUUGCUGAAAUAGGAGGUAGUGUCAGUUGCUGAAAUGGGGGUAGUGACAGUUUCUGAAAUGGGGGGUUGUGUCAGUUGCUGAAAUAGGGGUUAGUGGCAGUGGCUGAAAUAAGAGGUAGUCAUAGAUGCCGAAAUAUGUGGUAGUGUCAGUUGCUGAAAUGGGGGUAGUGUCAGUUGCUGAAAUAGAGGUAGUGACAGAUGCUGAUAUAGGGGUAGUGACAGAUGCUGAUAUAGGGGUAGUGACAGUUUCUGAAAUGGGGGGUUGUGUAAGUUGCUGAAAUAGGGGUUAGUGGCAGUGGUUGAAAUAAAGGGAAGUGACAGAUCCACCACUGACACAGUGUUCACAUCAAGCUUGUAGAUAUACGCGGUAUAACAACGUUGACUGAUGCUCUUGUCUUCAAAGGGUUUGUCACUCGUGGCCAUAUCACACUCUUACAGAAAACAUUGUUGACAGCCCAACAAGGUGUCAUGGAUUAUAUAUUGUUACUUUAUAUGUUACCGACCUUAAACAACUGUCAAGUUCAGUUGUGUGAAAGAUUUUAUUUACAGCUUUACACAUGUCAUAUAUAUGUAUAUACAAUCAAUAAAUUGCAUAAUCCACAGUC